CCGGGCAGGCCGCACACUCCGGCCUCGGCCCCACACAGAUAACCACCGGAGGCCACGGGAUUGGAUGAGGAGGAGAGCCGGGCCCCGCACGCCAGCGGGACUCUGGAAAAAAAUAACCGGAGCGAGUUCUGCCGCCUCGUGGUGAAGAAUCGAUGCAGGAAAACACGCGUCACGCUCCAGAUGGCAUCCCGGGGGCUUUCCUGAGCUCAUUUACUAUUCCCGACAACCCCGCACCAGCUACGAAGGGAAUGCCUGUUCUGGGCACGCUGGGUGCCACAGGAGACAGAACUCCUGGCCCCAGGGAGCUAAGGUCCUCACAGGAGACCCCGAGGAUGAACAGCAAAGAGUCCAGAGUGAUGUCAAUGGACGCACGUGCUAAGGAGCAGCUUAGAGAUGAAGCCUGCCUCCCUGGAGGACGAAGGGGAGCACAGUUACGGGGCUCUACUGCUCCCGUGGCGUGUACUCAGGUGGCUUUUACGUAAGGAGGGAUUCAUCCAGGCUCGGGCAUGCUUUUCUGAGCAGGUGGUGGAUGUUACUGGCAAACUGUCAACGGGACGAAUGAGCCUGGAUCAAGAUGCCCCCCUUCAAGCAACUGAGAACAGAAUGAAAUUGGUUCCGGUCGUUCCUGUCAUAUAACGUCAGCCUCAGAGACAGUCUUUGCCCGGAGCUAAAGCGAAAUGAUGUCAUCCCCAUCAACCACAACAGAUUCAGACAUCCAAAAUUCAUAAAGUCCGCGGAAAAGCAAGAGCGCCCACGUUCGCUGAAUUAAGAACGGCUGAUUGGUUUGAUACUUGGUGUCGUGCAUGCAACUCUGGGUAUCCCCCAUCGGGCACUCAAAUAUUGUAAAUAAAAAGGCGCUUUGGUGGGGCGCCGGGGUGGCUCAGUUAAGCGUCCGACUUCGCCUCAGGUCAUGAUCUCACAGUUCGUGGGUU